rnacentral:rRNA from 1 species
UGAGGAAUAUUGCGCAAUGGGCGAAAGCCUGACGCAGCGACGCCGCGUGGAGGAUGAAGGCCUUAGGGUUGUAAACUUCUGUUAAGUGGGAAGAAAGGCGAAGCUUUAAUACAGCUUUGAUAUGACGGUACCAUUAGAGAAAGCACCGGCUAAACUCGUGCCAGCAGCCGCGGUAAUACGAGUGGUGCGAGCGUUAUUCGGAAUAAUUGGGCGUAAAGGGUGCGCAGGCGGUAUGCUAAGUCAACUGUUAAAUACCUCAGCCUAACUGGGGAUCAGCGGUAGAUACUGGCGUGCUAGAGGGUGGAAGAGAGAAGUGGAAUUCUUGGAGUAGCGGUAAAAUGCGUAGAUCUCAAGAGGAACACCGAUGGCGAAGGCAGCUUCUUGGUCCACAUCUGACGCUCAUGCACGAAAGCGUGGGGAGCAAACAGGAUUAGAUACCCCUGUAGUCC